rnacentral:rRNA from 1 species
UACGUAGGGUGCGAGCGUUGUCCGGAAUUACUGGGCGUAAAGAGCUCGUAGGUGGUUUGUCGCGUUGUUCGUGAAAUCUCACGGCUUAACUGUGAGCGUGCGGGCGAUACGGGCAGACUAGAGUACUGCAGGGGAGACUGGAAUUCCUGGUGUAGCGGUGGAAUGCGCAGAUAUCAGGAGGAACACCGGUGGCGAAGGCGGGUCUCUGGGCAGUAACUGACGCUGAGGAGCGAAAGCGUGGGGAGCGAACAGGAUUAGAUACCCUGGCAGUCCACGCCGUAAACGGUGGGUACUAGGUGUGGGUUUCCUUCCUUGGGAUCCGUGCCGUAGCUAACGCAUUAAGUACCCCGCCUGGGGAGUACGGCCGCAAGGCUAAAACUCAAAGGA